rnacentral:rRNA from 1 species
GAUGAACGCUGGCGGCGUGCCUAAUACAUGCAAGUCGAGCGAACGGACGAGAAGCUUGCUUCUCUGAUGUUAGCGGCGGACGGGUGAGUAACACGUGGAUAACCUACCUAUAAGACUGGGAUAACUUCGGGAAACCGGAGCUAAUACCGGAUAAUAUUUUGAACCGCAUGGUUCAAAAGUGAAAGACGGUCUUGCUGUCACUUAUAGAUGGAUCCGCGCUGCAUUAGCUAGUUGGUAAGGCAACGGCUUACCAAGGCAACGAUGCAUAGCCGACCUGAGAGGGUGAUCGGCCACACUGGAACUGAGACACGGUCCAGACUCCUACGGGAGGCAGCAGUAGGGAAUCUUCCGCAAUGGGCGAAAGCCUGACGGAGCAACGCCGCGUGAGUGAUGAAGGUCUUCGGAUCGUAAAACUCUGUUAUUAGGGAAGAACAUAUGUGUAAGUAACUGUGCACAUCUUGACGGUACCUAAUCAGAAAGCCACGGCUAACUACGUG